CCGAGUUCCUCAUUUAUGAUUUAUCGACAAAGAAGGAGAUAAAUGGGUCCUAAUGGUACAAUGUGAAUUGGUGGGCGUUCACACAGAGUUGCUCAAGUGUCAGAUUUUGCUUUAAUGUUGAAAUGUUCCCUCAUCAGAGUCUUUGGUGACACAGAGCUGAUCACAUCUCAUGUAAUAUUUAAAAUCUAUCCAGCACCUACUGCUUUGCACUUUAAUUGGUUGCCUUUUGAAACCCUUUUGCAGAGUUUAGUUUAUAUUUGUGCGUUGAUGCGGAUAGGCAGGGUGAGAAAAGUACAUGAUAUUCAUUUCACAAGUGUUUUUUUUUGUUUGUUUAAGAGUCCUGUCUUAUUGUCUGUUUUUAGCUCUCCAGUCAUUAGUAAGAAACCAGUAGAAUGAUAUUUGUGGUU